UACGAAGGGGGCUAGCGUUGUUCGGAAUUACUGGGCGUAAAGGGCGCGUAGGCGGUGUGUCAAGUCAGGCGUGAAAGCCCCGGGCUCAACCUGGGAACCGCGCUUGAGACUGGCACGCUAGAGUUCGGGAGAGGAUGGUGGAAUUCCCAGUGUAGAGGUGAAAUUCGUAGAUAUUGGGAAGAACACCGAUGGCGAAGGCAACCAUCUGGACCGACACUGACGCUGAGGCGCGAAAGCGUGGGGAGCAAACAGG
rnacentral:rRNA from 1 species